UACGAAGGGGGCUAGCGUUGCUCGGAAUCACUGGGCGUAAAGGGUGCGUAGGCGGGUCUUUAAGUCAGGGGUGAAAUCCUGGAGCUCAACUCCAGAACUGCCUUUGAUACUGAAGAUCUUGAGUUCGGGAGAGGUGAGUGGAACUGCGAGUGUAGAGGUGAAAUUCGUAGAUAUUCGCAAGAACACCAGUAGCGAAGGCGGCUCACUGGCCCGAUACUGACGCUGAGGCACGAAAGCGUGGGGAGCAAACAGG
rnacentral:rRNA from 1 species